AAAGGGGAUGGAAUUACAAAUGCCUUUGAGCCCUGUUAAAUAGUUUUUCAAAAAUCUGUGACCUAUAAGUUGAGGGCAGCUAUCAUGACAGAAUAUGACAAACAGUUGUUCUAGUGUUUAUUCAUACUUUCCAAAAUACAUUGAAAAUCAUUGGUGAUGAGAUUUUGGUGGUGUUAAAUAACAUGGUAAUGAUACUGGUUUCUGAUACUCACAGACUCCACCAGGGUUUUCUAUCACAUAGUGGUCACAUAAGCAUUAUUUUUCUUAUUUCAGAAUAGCUGGUUAUAUAAAUCUCGACUCUGAAUCAAGGGCAACCUCUUAGUUGUUCUUACUACAACUCAAAUGAAGUAAAACGUGAAGAAACAAAAUAAUCUAGUUUUCUCGAUUAACAAGUACCUUAUUUGAGAAUAUAUAAGCAAAGUAUGUUACACUACAGGAGACAAUUUCAAUGACUAAUAGAAUAAACUUUCAGCUUAGCUCAAAGUCUAAGCUGAAAUUUUAUCUCUAGUGAUUCUGAGCUGUACAUCACAAUAUUUUGUUUUGAAUUAACUAGUCUGAUCUUGCCCUGUGAGAGAUAUAUAUCUA
rnacentral:lncRNA from 1 species